AUUGAACGCUGGCGGCAGGCCUAACACAUGCAAGUCGAGCGGAUGAAGGGAGCUUGCUCCUGGAUUCAGCGGCGGACGGGUGAGUAAUGCCUAGGAAUCUGCCUGGUAGUGGGGGAUAACGUCCGGAAACGGGCGCUAAUACCGCAUACGUCCUGAGGGAGAAAGUGGGGGAUCUUCGGACCUCACGCUAUCAGAUGAGCCUAGGUCGGAUUAGCUAGUUGGUGGGGUAAAGGCCUACCAAGGCGACGAUCCGUAACUGGUCUGAGAGGAUGAUCAGUCACACUGGAACUGAGACACGGUCCAGACUCCUACGGGAGGCAGCAGUGGGGAAUAUUGGACAAAGGGCGAAAGCCUGAUCCAGCCAUGCCGCGUGUGUGAAGAAGGUCUUCGGAUUGUAAAGCACUUUAAGUUGGGAGGAAGGGCAGUAAGUUAAUACCUUGCUGUUUUGACGUUACCAACAGAAUAAGCACCGGCCAACUUCGUG
rnacentral:rRNA from 1 species